CAGGGAUACAACAACUAAUUGUGAUGUCUGAGUAAUUUAUUCUCAGGCCAUGAUUCUGUCAUCUCUAAGGUCGAUCGGUACCUCAAUUUAAGAAUUCAAGAUGAACUGAGCAAUCAGUUUGGAGAUGAAGGUCUUAACUUCAGUUCCUAAACUUUGUCUAGGUCACCCCACAGCGGGUAAAGCCGAGAGCACAUGUAAUUUAAUUAUUUGUGUUUGAUCUGGCAAGCCGAAAGGCGAGCUAGGUUGCGGCGAGAGCCCUGGGCCAUUAGCUCGGUGGUUAGAGCGCACCCCUGAUAAGGGUGAGGUCCCUGGUUCAAGUCCAGGAUGGCCCAUUCGUGUUUGGGGGUUUAGCUCAGUUGGUAGAGCGCCUGCUUUGCAAGCAGGAUGUCAGCGGUUCGAGUCCGCUAACCUCCAUCCAAUGAUGAUGCUCAUCCCUCAAUCUGUAACUGCAAGUUUUGCAGUAAGGAGUUUUGCUGUGUUUGUGAUCUUGACUGUUGUUCGCUGAAGAUUUCAGCUUCUUUUCAUUCUUAAUGAGUUAACCAGAUCGCUGGUUAGUAAGUUUAGUUGAAAAGACGCUGGAUUCAAUCCUGCCCUGGAGACAGGGCUGUUUGAAUGUCAGCAGAACCUUGACAACUGCAUAGGUAAAGUCUGGAAAUAAAGCAUCUCAUGGAUGCUUGAUUCCGGCUUAAGUCUCAUCCAGCAAUGGAUAGGGCUUAAAGCUGGUAUCAAGAAAAUUCUAUUGAGUUUUUAGAGCCGAGAGCUUCCAGUUUUCUUCUGAGCCCGCCGAGGGUUUGGGAGUUUGAUCCUGGCAUUCAAACCGCAUUAGGUGUUCAAAGAGAUUUGAGUAUUAAAUGUAGGUGAAUCUAGAGAGAAUAGGCCUCAACAGCCUGAAGGACUGGGAGUUGAAAUU
rnacentral:tRNA from 1 species